rnacentral:rRNA from 1 species
UACGUAGGGCGCAAGCGUUGUCCGGAAUUAUUGGGCGUAAAGAGCUCGUAGGCGGCCUGUUGCGUCCGCUGUGAAAUCCCGGGGCUCAACCCCGGGCCUGCAGUGGAUACGGGCUGGCUAGAGGCAGGCAGGGGAGAACGGAAUUCCUGGUGUAGCGGUGAAAUGCGCAGAUAUCAGGAGGAACACCGAUGGCGAAGGCAGGUCUCUGGGCAUUAACUGACGCUGAGGAGCGAAAGCAUGGGGAGCGAACAGG